rnacentral:rRNA from 1 species
UACAGAGGGGCCAGCGUUAUUCGGAAUUAUUGGGCGUAAAGGGCGCGUAGGCGGCUUUGCGUGUCUUUCGUGAAAUCCCUACGGCCUGCAACUGAGGACGUGCGGAAGAAACUGCAGGGCUGGAGUCCGGGAGAGGAGGGUGGAAGUUCCCAGUGUAGGCGGUGAAAUGACGUAGAUAUUGGGAGGAACACCGGUGGCGAAGGCGGCCCUCUGGACCCGGUACUGACGCUGAUGCGCGAAAGCGUGGGGAGCAAACGGG